CGGGGGGCAGCAGUGGGGAAUAUUGGACAAUGGGCGAAAGCCUGAUCCAGCAAUUCCGCGUGUGUGAAGAAGGCCUUCGGGUUGUAAAGCACUUUAGUGGGGGAAGAAACAGCUUGGCCACACCAAGCCUUGACGGUACCCCAAGAAUAAGCACCGGCUAACUCUGUGCCAGCAGCCGCGGUAAUACAGAGGGUGCAAGCGUUAAUCGGAUUUACUGGGCGUAAAGGGUGCGUAGGUGGCUAUUUAAGUCGGAUGUGAAAGCCCGGGGCUCAACCUCGGAAUUGCAUUCGAUACUGAGUGGCUAGAGUUCGGUAGAGGGCGGCGGAAUUUCCGGUGUAGCGGUGAAAUGCGUAGAUAUCGGAAGGAACAUCAAUGGCGAAGGCAGCCGCCUGGGCCUGGACUGACACUGAGGCACGAAAGCGUGGGUAGCAAACAGGAUUAGAUACCCGCGU
rnacentral:rRNA from 1 species